AUUUACUGGGCGUAAAGCGUCUGCAGACGGACAGCUAAAUUGGGCGUGAAAGCUCCGGGCCCAACCCGGAGAGGUCGUUCAAUACUGCGUGUCUAGAGGGUGUCAGAGGGGAGUGGAAUUUCCGGAGUAGCGGUAAAAUGCGCAGAGAUCGGAAAGAACACCAAUGGCGAAGGCAGCUCCCUGGGGCAACCCUGACGCUAAGAGACGAAAGCUAGGGGAGCGAACAGGAUUAGAGACCCUGGUAGUCCUAGCCCUAAACGAUGGAUGCUGGAUGUGGGGCCACAGCGCUCCGUGUCGAAGCGAACGCGUUAAGCAUCCCGCCUGGGGACUGCGGCCGCAAGGUUAAAACUCAAACGAAUUGACGGGACCCCGCACAAGCAGCGGAGCGUGUGGUUUAAUUCGAUGCUACACGAAGAACCUUACCUGGGUUUGACAUCUAGGUGGUAGUGAAGCGAAAGCGGAGCGACCCUUCGGGGAGCCUAGACAGGUGCUGCAUGGCUGUCGUCAGCUCGUGCCGUGAGGUGUCGGGUUAAGUCCCGUAACGAGCGCAACCCUUGCCCUCCGUUAUACGUGUCAGAGGGGACUGCCGCCGGUAAGCCGGAGGAAGGUGGGGAUGACGUCAAGUCAGCAUGGCCUUUAUAUCCAGGGCUACACACACGCUACAAUGGCCAGUACAAAGGGCAGCGAAGCCGCGAGGUGGAGCGAAUCCCAGCAAAGCUGGUCGUAGUUCGGAUUGCAGGCUGCAACCCGCCUGCAUGAAGCUGGAGUUGCUAGUAACCGCGCGUCAGCCAUAGUGCGCUGAUACGUUCCCGGGGUUUGUACACACCGCCCGUCACGUCAUGGGAGUCGAUNACGCCUGAAGCCGCUGUCCUAGCUCGGAAGAGAGGGCGCUGUCUAAGGCGGGGUCGGUGACUGGGACGAAGUCGUAANCAGUAAGCC
rnacentral:rRNA from 1 species